AGAGACUAAAUAUGGGAGAAGUUUUGAGGUGAAGGUGGUAGUUGGGUCAACUUUAACUGCCCUUUGGAUCCUCUGAAACAACCUCAACUAUAAGAAAAAUAUCUCAACUAUAAGACAAAAAUGCACAAGGACAGGAGCAGGAGAGGAAGCAGCUGCAGCCAGUAAUGCUAAAAAGUCCCCACAGACCCAAGAAAAUGAAAGCCUGAAAUAGGAAGGAAAGCUUUCCCCACAAGGUUCACAAAUGGUAGCAGUGAGCACUUCUGGAAUGGAAGAGAGAGCCUGUUCCUGGUGAUGCUCAGAUCCCCUGUCAGCCCUGUGCUACCUUACAGCAGCCCCCUUCCUCUUCCUGAGGAGAGACUAUGUGUGUAUCUAAAGCAGUUAAAGAUGAGUCCCCAAACAGAGUGGCAGAGGCAGCUCAAAAGAGAGGUGCAGAGGUAGUGGCUUAACACUGGGAUCAGGGUCAAGUGAACAUGUACCUACUGACAUAUACAAGCCCCUUUCAGGGAUUUCAUGGCACAGGGAUCCAGGAGCCUAGGAGAGGCUUUUGGGUUGAGUAACAGGAACCAUCAGCACAGUUUCACAUCCAUAGUUGCUCAGAUGUCCAAUUAGCAUACUGCAGAGAAGGCCACAGUGAAAAGUGCCACUUGGCACAGAACUUCUGAUCCAUCUCAGUCCUUCCCAGGCAAAUAGGAGUGGGCAGCUGAGCUGACAUGUCAAAAGGCCUGUAUCAGGAAAUACAAAGCCUCAAUAGGUUUUUGUUUUGCUUUGUUUGUUUGUUUGUUUUUUAAGUUGUAGGAAACAAGCCAUGUAGAGGGAGUGGUAAACAUCAAUAAAACUACCAAUAACAUAAGUAGGGAAAUGUGCAAGGAUGCCACAAUCUACAAAAGGGAAGUAUGUGUGAAGAAAGAGUAGGGGAUAAAAAGAAAGCAUUCUUGGAGCUUGAAAGAAAGUAGCAAGCAUAUAUAUGACAAAGUCUUCAAGGGAAAUACUGGGAGGGAGCACUAACCAGAAAGAAUUCACAACAGCAUAAAAUGGAAAGAAGAGAAGGGGGGGGGGAUGUUAAUUAGAGAAUCAACCAGACGGGAAGUGCUUUGGUCAGUUAAUAGGAGCCCUAACGUGGUAGAAAAUCAUUAGUCCAAUGACAGUUUUAACAAUGUGUUGGAGGCUGGGUGUGUGCCACCACCGCCCAGCUAUUUUUGUUUCAUUCCAUAACCUGGGGCAGAGGUGACUGGGUUAGCUUAUGACUGGCACCUCAGCUAACAUCCUGUGCCUGGGGCUCACUCAUUAGCUUUGGUGUUUCUCAUAGGCUCUCCCCUCCUCUGCCUCUCUUCAGAGUUACUCUCAAUGAUAUUAAAGUGUUG
rnacentral:lncRNA from 1 species